rnacentral:lncRNA from 1 species
UUUUGAAGUGGGAGGGGAUGAUGUGAUCAUGGAAAGCACCAAGGAAUGGAAUCAUGAACCUGAUCAUGGAGAACUUGUAGCUGUGGAAGAACCUACACUUGAAGAAUGUUUGAGCCGAAAUAAAGCUUCUAUCAUCAGAGACAACUUGAUCUACAUUCAAGCUACUCUACACUCAAGCUGAUCAUCAUCUAGGCAAGUAGCUUGUGUGUACUCUUUUUCCCUUGAUUGGUUUUGUCCCACUGGGUUUUCCAAUCAAGGUUUUUAAUGAGGCCACAAGUUACUUCUCUUACCUCCUAGAUGAUUGAUCUUGGUCUGUCCACAUGAAGACCUUAUCUUAUAUUUUAAGCUAUGCUUUUAUGUUAUUUAGUUUUCGAAAAAACUCUAGUCUUUGUUGUGUUUCCAAGGGAGCUUUUGUCUUUAUUUUCCUUGUAUUUUCGAGACCUUGUGCAUGUACAAGGCUUCUCCUUUAUAUUCUGGUCGUGGCCCCUUGUAUCAGCAUCCAUCUUUUUAUCAAAAACCUUUGUUUUCUCUUUUCUUCUUGCUUGUCGAGUUGAGUGAGUGUUGGUGUGUAAUAUCCAACUUCUGGUGUGUAAUAUCCAGAGACUAAGGGCUCUAGUUUGGUGUGUCAUAUCCGAUCUAUUGCCUAGGAGUAUCAAGGAGCCUUUCCGCAGCCUUUUGUGUCACCAUUCGAUCCACAUACCUUGAGAAACUUGAGUCUUUUGAUUCGUUUCUGCAAGGAUUAUCCCAUCUGUUCCAGAGCAUCAUCCUAGGAUCUCAUCAAGUGGUAUCAGAGCAACUCUGGAAGGGAAGUGUGUUGAUUUCUCUAUGAUUUUCGAUUUGUCUCUUCAUAUUCAUGCUAGAAACUGAUAGAUCUGUGUUGUGGCUGUCGAAAUCUGAUAGAUUAAGGUUAUCUGAUUUCGUUUUUGUGUUAAAAACUCUUCAUAUACCUUGCUGAGAAAGUUUUCUGAUUUACUUGAUCAAUCUGUUUCUGUUUCUGAAAUUUCGAAUUGUUUCUGUCUUGAUCUACUCUGUUUUGAUUAAACUUGAUGUACUAGACUUGAAAGUGAACCUGAAAUCAAAAUCUCUCUGUUCUGUUUCGAAAUCAAUCUGAUCUGUUAGGUUUGUGAUUUAUCAGUUCUGUUCAGAUUAGUUUUGAUCUGUUUUAAAUCAUUGGUUGAGUUUUUAAUUUGUUCUGAGAAUUGUCUAAGGUUUUAAGCUUCAGUUUGAAUCUGUUUCUGGUUUUGCAAAUUGAUUUUUGUUUUCUCUGUAGAACUUGUUACUGCUGUGUGUUGUUUUCUGUCUCAGGUACUAUGGCAGGAGAUCAGGUUGCAAAAGAAGACUCAGCAGAAAAAGAACCAGAGAGUACAACACAAGAAGAACAACAGAAAAACUUGCAGACAGAAUCAGCUCAUGAAUCUUUGUCUUAUGAUCUGCAAGAGCACUGUAAGGAGUUUAAUAUGGUUGCUUCUGUGCCUAGAAUGUUUGUUAAAGUGAGUACUGAAGACAUAAAACGUUUUGGUCUUGAUAAAGUAAAAGAUUUUUUUGUUUCAAAAUCUGUUUUUGAUAACAUGUUUAAAUCUUUUAAAGAACUUAAACCAGUAAUCAUCUUUGAUCAAAAAAAUUUUCAAAAUCAAAAUAAUAACAUUUCUGGUCAUAUUCUGAGUUUUGAUCAUUUUCUGAAACAUGGCAAAAGUUUUGAUCAUUUUGAAAAGGUUUUAGAGCUUGAAUUGAAACAAUUUGAUUUCUGUUUGAAACCUUGUGAUUCAUUUGCUAGAACUGAAGAAAGGAGUUUUGUUACGAACUUCCAUGUGCAUAAACUGAUCCUUGAUAAUUCUUUUGUUUCUGCUUAUGUAUUGAAUGAACCUAAGAAGUUGCAGGAACCGAAAUUGCAUCAAUCUGAUUUUAGAUUUAAAUUUGUGAAAUCUGCAAAGUUCUCUGAGUUUGAGCUUGAUUGUUUGUGUGCUAAAAAUGAUUCUAAACGUGUAGGGUUGUUCUUUGAGGAUAUUCUAGUGUAUAACACUUUCUUUGAUAAACCUGUUGCACAAUUGAAACUAGAGUUCACUGAUUCUGAAUGUAUGAACUUAAUCCUUGAUGAUAUUUGGGUCUGCAAUAUUUUUGUUGAUAUGCAUAAUAAAUGGAGGAAUCAUGCUGUUUUGUGCUUUGGAGACAUUCUGGUCUACAACACUUUCUUUGACAUGAUAACACACUUGACUUGUCCAAAACAAGCUGAAAAAGGUACAGGUGAAGAAAGGGGCUAUAAUGAUCAGAGUAUCCAUGAUGAGUCCUUGGCUAAAUUGGAGAUGCAACAAUCAAAUCUUGGAAACUGUCUAGCCGCCAGGUUUAACAUAGGAGCAGUCCGAGGAUCAUAUCUCAGCAACCAGAAGGAAUUAAGCAACAAACUCAACUGCAAUGGAAACUACACUCAUCAGGGUCUCACGUCGAACUGGAAUCAUGUCCAAAGCUUCUCAAAUGAAAGAGUUAUGGGUUCUACAAGACGGGUGAUUCUGUGUUUGCUUUGUUUGAAUUUUUCUGAGUAUAGAACAUCUCAAUCCUAUAUAUGGCGACCAGGUGAGCAUGCUAAGGUAACCAAUCAUGUUUUCAAGAGUUCCUUUAUUGAUUACACAGAUAUGAUGCACUUGUUUUUGUCAAAAGAGUCAUGUGCAGAUUAUAUGGAAGCUUUGAAGCAUGCAAAGACAAAGAACAAGCGUGAGGAAGACAAACGUUUCAAGCCGCCUGAUCUAAGCCAGGAGAGACAUCAGGACGUCACUUGCUUCAUCCUCAUCAAAGAAGCACCUCCAGAUGCAACAUACAAGCCAAAACCGAGAAAAUAUAACUUUGGGAUAAGAAUCUUACUCUAUGAUGAUUUUGCUUGUGUUAACUUGUCUUGUUUCAAAGUAUCAGGUUUAAGUAAUGCCUCAGGAGUGAGGAAAGCCAAAUGGAUCAGUCCCUUCUACCUAAUAGAACCAGUCAGCGACAAUGCCUAUCAAAGAGGCUUGCAAGGUAAGUGUAAUCUGAUUAUAAACUCUGAUGUUACUGACUUGGUCCCUUCUAUUGCAGGUAACACAGAUUUGAGGACAAAUCUUUUUGAAGUGGGAGGGGAUGAUGUGAUCAUGGAAAGCACCAAGGAAUGGAAUCAUGAACCUGAUCAUGGAGAACUGAUGUGAUCAUGGAAAGCACCAAGGAAUGGAAUCAUGAACCUGAUCAUGGAGAACUUGUAGCUGUGGAAGAACCUACACUUGAAGAAUGUUUGAGCCGAAAUAAAGCUUCUAUCAUCAGAGACAACUUGAUCUACAUUCAAGCUACUCUACACUCAAGCUGAUCAUCAUCUAGGCAAGUAGCUUGUGUGUACUCUUUUUCCCUUGAUUGGUUUUGUCCCACUGGGUUUUCCAAUCAAGGUUUUUAAUGAGGCCACAAGUUACUUCUCUUACCUCCUAGAUGAUUGAUCUUGGUCUGUCCACAUGAA